CAAUCCAUGAGUACAGUGGCGACCGGGGUGUAGUAACACGUGACUACCUACCCUUGAGUGGGGGAUAACCUCGGGAAACCGAGGCUAAUACCGCAUAAUAUCGAAAGAUCAAAGGAGUAAUCCGCUUUUGGAGGGGGUCGCGGCUGAUUAGCUAGUUGGUAGGGUAAUGGCCUACCAAGGCGAAGAUCGGUAUCCGGCCUGAGAGGGCGCACGGACACACUGGAACUGAAACACGGUCCAG
rnacentral:rRNA from 1 species